rnacentral:rRNA from 1 species
AGUGAACGCUGGCGGUAGGCCUAACACAUGCAAGUCGAACGGCAGCACAGUAAGCGCUUGCUCUUACGGGUGGCGAGUGGCGGACGGGUGAGGCAUACAUCGGAAUCUACUUUUUCUUGGGGGAUAACGUAGGGACACUUACGCUAAUACCGCAUACGACCUACGGCUGAAAGCAGGGGAUCUUCGGACCUUGCGCGAUUGCAUGAGCCGAUGUCGGAUUAGCUAGUUGGCGGGGUAAAGGCCCACCAAGGCGACGCUCCGUAGCUGGUCUGAGAGGAUGAUCGGCCACACUGGAACUGAGACACGGUCCAGACUCCUAAGGGAGGCAGCAGUGGGGAAUAUUGGACAAUGGGCGAAAGCCUGACGCAGCCAUGCCGCGUGAGUGAAGAAGGCCUUCGGGUUGUAAAGCCCUGUUGUUGGGAAAGAAAAGAAGCAGGUUAAUACACCGAUGUUCUGACGGUACCCAAAGAAUAAGCACCGGCUAACUUCGUG